rnacentral:rRNA from 1 species
GAGUUUGAUCCUGGCUCAGGACGAACGCUGGCGGCGUGCUUAACACAUGCAAGUCGAACGGUGAAGCCUUUCGGGGUGGAUCAGUGGCGAACGGGUGAGUAACACGUGAGCAAUCUGCCCUUGACUCUGGGAUAACUUCGGGAAACCGGAGCUAAUACCGGAUAUGACACAUGGCCGCAUGGUUUGUGUGUGGAAAGAUUUAUUGGUCAGGGAUGAGCUCGCGGCCUAUCAGCUUGUUGGUGGGGUAAUGGCCUACCAAGGCGACGACGGGUAGCCGGCCUGAGAGGGCGACCGGCCACACUGGGACUGAGACACGGCCCAGACUCCUACGGGAGGCAGCAGUGGGGAAUAUUGCGCAAUGGGCGAAAGCCUGACGCAGCGACGCCGCGUGAGGGAUGAAGGCCUUCGGGUCGUAAACCGUCUUUCAGCAGGGAAGAAGCGAGAGUGACGGUACCUGCAGAAGAAGCACCGGCUAACUACGUAGCCAGCAGCCGCCGUAAC